UACGGAGGGUGCAAGCGUUAUCCGGAUUCACUGGGUUUAAAGGGUGUGUAGGCGGGUAUUUCAGUCAGUGGUGAAAUCUCUGAGCUCAACUCAGAAACUGCCAUUGAUACUAUUUAUCUUGAAUAUCGUUGAGGUUGGCGGAAUAUAUCAUGUAGCGGUGAAAUGCAUAGAUAUGAUAUAGAACACCGAUUGCGAAGGCAGCUAACUAAGCGAUGAUUGACGCUGAGGCCCGAAAGCGUGGGGAUCAAACAGG
rnacentral:rRNA from 1 species